CGAGAAGUUGCCAAAAUACUUGCAAAAGAACUCAAACUGUUAAAGAAGAAAGUAAUGCAAUAAAAAUAUUUUAUUACAAGUGUUUAAAAAAAAAAAAGCCUUCUGGAAUUCAAAGACUAUAGACCAUCUAGAGUGAAUUAAGGGUAUAUUGUGAGAGCUGAAACAGCAAGAGCAGCAAGAGAAUUUGCAGCCAAAUAAUGGAAGUAUCAACAAUACAACCAAGCAGGCAUGUGUGUGAGAGAGAGAUUGUAACUUUAAACAAGAGUCAGUUUGAAACAUUA
rnacentral:misc_RNA from 1 species